GACGAACGCUGGCGGCGUGCUUAACACAUGCAAGUCGAACGGAAAGGCCCUGCUUUUGUGGGGUGCUCGAGUGGCGAACGGGUGAGUAACACGUGAGUAACCUGCCCUUGACUUUGGGAUAACUUCAGGAAACUGGGGCUAAUACCGGAUAGGAGCUCCUGCUGCAUGGUGGGGGUUGGAAAGUUUCGGCGGUUGGGGAUGGACUCGCGGCUUAUCAGCUUGUUGGUGGGGUAGUGGCUUACCAAGGCUUUGACGGGUAGCCGGCCUGAGAGGGUGACCGGCCACAUUGGGACUGCGAGACGGCCCAGACUCCUACGGGAGGCAGCAGUGGGGAAUAUUGCGCAAUGGGCGGAAGCCUGAUGCAGCAACGCCGCGUGCGGGAUGACGGCCUUCGGGUUGUAAACCGCUUUCGCCUGUGACGAAGCGUGAGUGACGGUAAUGGGUAAAGAAGCACCGGCUAACUACGUG
rnacentral:rRNA from 1 species